GCCCAGUGAUGAAACAAAGGCAAAAAUGAGCUGGUUGGCCAAGAGGCGUGUUUUCCUGCUCACUGUGCAGGUGGGUAAUCUUGGCAGAGCAGUAAAGAUUGGCUGUUCUUCUGUAAGGGCCCACCCACAUAAAUCCUGCAACCCGUUUCAAUUUCUCUGCAUUUUUCAAAGAUCAAAGAAUGUGGUACUGGGGAUGCUUUACAGUAGUGUGUAUGUAUGUCAGUGAGCAGACACUCGUCUCUUAAUCAGGCCUCUAGCUUUGAACAUAGUUCUUUGGUAAUCUGAGGGCA
ensembl:snoRNA small nucleolar RNA U85